GGAUCCCCACCUCGUCACCCGACAUCACAGCAGGAUCCACCCUCAUCACCCUGACAUCACAGUGGGAUCCCCACCUCGUCACCCCGACAUCACAGCAGGAUCCCCACCUUGUCACCCUGACAUCACAGCAGGAUCCCCACUUCGUCACCCCGACAUCACAUCAGGAUCCCCACCUCGUCACCCCGACAUCACAGCGGGAUCCCCACCUCAUCACCCCGACAUCACAGCGGGAUCCCCACCUCGUCACCCCGACAUCACAGCAGGAUCCCCACCUCGUCACCCCGACAUCACAGCGGGAUCCCCACCUCGUCACCCCGACAUCACAGUGGGAUCCCCACCUCAUCACCCCGACAUCACAGCAGGAUCCCCACCUUGUCACCCUGACAUCACAGCAGGAUCCCCACCUCGUCACCCCGACAUCACAGCGGGAUCCCCACCUCGUCACCCGAUAUCACAGCGGGAUCCCCCCUCGUCACCCCGACAUUACAGCAGGAUCCCCACCUCGUCACCCCGACAUCACAGCAGGAUCCCCACCUCGUCACCCCGACAUCACAGUGGGAUCCCCACCUCGUCACCCCGACAUCACAGCUGGCUUUAUCAGGCCCCUCCUGGAGUCCAUCAGGCAUCUGAGUCCCUCAUUUCUCAGCUCAGCUUGUCUCACCAGAGUAUGAGACCCAGUCUGUGCGGCUCCGAUGUGUCACUGGACAGCUACCAACCACUAAUCUACUAAAAAAGUCCAAAAAAAGUCAUAGAAAUAGAAGCUGGUCAAUGAAUGGAAAGACCGCUCCAGCGCAGAAGAGAGAUGAUGCUGUGAUCCUUUCCCUGAUGCAGAGGUAAGGUUUAGGCAACUUUUUAAACCCAUAGGCAUAUUCCUCAAAGUGUAAAUUCAUUCGUUCUCUAACAGACUUUUUGCUGAUUAUCUAAAAACACAAGCCAAAGAAACUUGUCUCUUAUUUUCAGGCAAAUAGCCAAUCAGGGUGGACCACAAUGGACAGUGAGAGUCAAAAUUCUAGUACAUUCUACGUGUAAAACCUGGACAUGCACAGAUGUUUGAACGGCCUUGAGGGGGAGGACUAUGGCGAACUAUCAUUGUUCCAUUUUUCUUUCU
rnacentral:lncRNA from 1 species